rnacentral:sRNA from 12 species
CGCUCAAGUCGUCGGGGACUCACCGGCAGGGCUUGAGGGAUACCCCGAACUGUGGGCUAGGUCUGAGAUACGGGGUAGGGUGGCGAAGGCAGCGCCCUUGACCGAACGGCUACCGGGU